GCCUUAUCUUAUAAAUUAGAGCACCAUUUCUGUCAAAUUUUAUAUGGUUUCAAAGUUUAUUUAAUCAGCUUCAGGAUGCAUGUAAUUUGGUAGAUUUUUAUUGAGUUUAGGGUGUUUAAUUCUGAGUUCAAAGUGUAAUACACAGUAGCUGAAAUUGCGUUAGUUUCUCUGGUGGUGCAGGAGCAACAACAGUUUUCUAAAAGCUCAUGUCAAGACAUUAGGUGGUGGUUCAAUUGAUGAAUGUCAAGGAUAUUUGGAAGCAACAACAAAAACAUGACUGGAUAAUUGGACAACCAGCUGAUGGUAGCCCUGCUGCAUAGUUUGAGCAUAGGUUAGAUGUGGUUUGAUAUGUUAGAGAUUGAUUUUUGUUAUUAUAUUCAUGAGUGAAUGGGUUGGAGAGAUUGUGAACAAGUUAAUUGUAGGUUUUGUGAACAAGUUAUUUGUAGGUUUGGCAACACUUUUAUGUGUUUCUUUUAUACUAUAAAGAGUUUGUACUUGGAAUUGAU